GUACUUUUUUUCUGGCCUUUAAAUCUUGUUCAACUUGACAAAGUCGUUCACGUUCUGUUUUUAGUGGAUUAUUGUCAGCAUCCCAUAUACCUUUCAUAACUUCUACUAAGGCUAAAGCUUCCUUUGUCACGGCAUCUUUUACUUCAUUUUUCCUUAUAAAAAUUUUCUCUUUUAUUUUUGAGUAGAAGAUAUUUUUCUUCGUAUACUUUGUUUAAUUUCUCGUAUUGAAAUGGUCGGAUUAAACAAGAGGCACAUACGGAUUUGUCGCAAAUAAGGCAGUAUGUAACACAUUUCGAUCCAUAUGUUUCGAACAUGCAAUCUCCUUCAAGUACACUUGGUCCGAGACCACAAUUAUUUCGUAGUGCAUUUCUUUUAGAACAGAAAUGAAAAUAAAAAAAAUCCCACCUGCGCUUUCUCAAAGAAACUUU
rnacentral:lncRNA from 1 species